UACGUAGGGUGCGAGCGUUGUCCGGAAUUAUUGGGCGUAAAGAGCUCGUAGGCGGCCUGUUGCGUCCGCUGUGAAAUCCCGGGGCUCAACCCCGGGCCUGCAGUGGAUACGGGCUGGCUAGAGGCAGGCAGGGGAGAACGGAAUUCCUGGUGUAGCGGUGAAAUGCGCAGAUAUCAGGAGGAACACCGGUAGCGAAGGCGGUUCUCUGGGCCUGUACUGACGCUGAGGAGCGAAAGCGUGGGGAGCGAACAGG
rnacentral:rRNA from 1 species